GCAGCACACACUAUACGCUCUUCCUCUCUGUCCUGCACUGUUACACGUCCUCUGUCUUCAUCACUUGGCCUGAAACAUGUCAGCUGCAGUUCAGAAAGCCAUCCUGAUGCCGGCACGUAUGCUCCAAUGGAACAUUAUGGUACAGAAAAGACUUAGCAGCAUCCACAGUAAACCUCCAAAAGGAAAAGUUGGACCAAUUGAGACAGUGAUUGGUCUUUCUGUUUUCGCAAUGGGUCUUCUCACGCCAGCUGGUUGGAUAUUAGUGCACCUCCCUAAGCAACGAAAACAUUGAGAGAAAGGCACAGACUAUCUCUGACAUUAACUGACGUAGCAAUCGACCACAUUGGAAGAAAACUCUAUUUUUCCCAAAAGUUUAUUUAAAGAACUGUGUACUAAACUAAGCUUUGAUUUAAAUCAUGUAUUUUGUUUUUAGUUUCCUAAUGUUUUUUGUUUUUUUUUCCUGCAAGGAAUUCUUGUUUCUUUUAAGUGUCUGCAUAGAAUUGUAGCAAUUUGAAAUUGAAAUUGUUUUAGUUAAAGGAACAAUAAACUAACACCUUUUCAUUACAAGAUUUCUUUCUGCAGUCUUGCAAUAAACAAACAUAUUGGUUGAGUUUGAAAA